UCAUUCUUUUUUUGGUGGUUAGCUUCAUGCGGAUGCCGCCACGAACGUUCGAUACUUUGCUCGAACUGCUGCGCCCCGCAAUAUCCAAGCAGGACACAAACCACCGGCCUACAAUUUCGGCGCACGACUGCCUGGCCAUGACCAUUAGGUAUGCCAAGGAAGUGCAAGAUAAAUUGACGCACUACUUCGUCACAGACGGUCAAGUGCCUUGGCAGGACAAAGUGGUGAACAGCACUUGAGGCGUACAAGGUGAAGGUGUCGACACCAGUCUCCUCAGCCGUAUCAGGGGUACGUUCCGGUUCUGCUGCAUGGCUU
rnacentral:lncRNA from 1 species